rnacentral:rRNA from 1 species
UACGUAGGGGGCAAGCGUUGUUCGGAAUCACUGGGCGUAAAGGGCGUGUAGGCGGUCCGCUAAGUCUGAUGUGAAAGCCCGGGGCUCACCCCCGGAAGUGCAUUGGAAACUGGCGAACUCGAGUCCCGGAGAGGAGAGUGGAAUUCCUGGUGUAGCGGUGAAAUGCGUAGAUAUCAGGAGGAACACCGGUGGCGAAGGCGGCUCUCUGGACGGUGACUGACGCUGAUACGCGAAAGCGUGGGGAGCAAACAGG